rnacentral:rRNA from 1 species
CUGAGUGACGAGCGGCGGACGGGUGAGUAAUGUCUGGAAACUGCCUGAUGGAGGGGGAUAACUACUGGAAACGGUAGCUAAUACCGCAUAACGUCGCAAGACAAAGAGGGGGACCUUCGGGCCUCUUGCCAUCAAUGUGCCCAAUGGGAUUACUAGUAGGUGGGGUAACGGCUCACCUAGGCGACGAUCCCUAGCUGGUCUGAGAGGAUGACCAGCCACACUGGAACUGAGACACGGUCCAGACUCCUACGGGAGGCAGCAGUGGGGAAUAUUGCACAAUGGGCGCAAGCCUGAUGCAGCCAUGCCGCGUGUAUGAAGAAGGCCUUCGGGUUGUAAAGUACUUUCAGCGGGGAGGAAGGUGUUGUGGUUAAUAACCACAGCAAUUGACGUUUACUCCGCAGAAAGAAGCAACCGGUUAACUCCCGUGCCCAGCAGCCGGCGGGUAAUUACCGGGAGGGGUGGCAAGGCGGUUAAAUCCGGGAAAUUUAACUGGGGGCGUUAAAAGGCGGCACCGGCCAAGGCGGUUGGGGAUAAGUUUCAGAAUGGUGGAAAAGCCCCCGGGGUUCAACCCUUGGGGAAUUUGGGUUUUUAAAAAUUGGU